AAAAAGGCAAAUCUUAAGUUUCCGUACCAACGUUUGACUGUCCGUCUUAUAUGAAAUUUUUUUAUAAUUAGUAUUUUCAUAUUUGUUAGAUGAUAAAACAUGAUUAAUAUUUUAUGCGUGACUUAUCUUCUUAAUUUUUUUUAUAUUUUUUUCAAAUAAAACGGACGGUCAAACGUUGGACACGGAAACUAUGGUUUGCUUUUUUU
rfam:Oryza glaberrima chromosome 6 Oglab06_0218_16, whole genome shotgun sequence.